GGAAUAUUGCGCAAUGGGCGAAAGCCUGACGCAGCGACGCCGCGUGGAGGAUGACGGUUUUCGGAUUGUAAACUCCUGUUAAGCGGGAAGAAAGACUUAUCAAUAAUACUGGUAAGUUAUGACGGUACCGCUAAAGAAAGCACCGGCUAACUUCGUGCCAGCAGCCGCGGUAAUACGAGGGGUGCUAGCGUUAUUCGGAAUUACUGGGCGUAAAGGGUGCGUAGACGGCGCAUUAAGUCUGUUGUUAAAUUCUCCGGCUCAACCGGAGGUCAGCAGUGGAAACUGAUGUGCUAGAGGGUGAGAGAGAGAAGUGGAAUUCCCGGAGUAGCGGUAAAAUGCGUAGAUCUCGGGAGGAACACCGAUGGCGAAGGCAGCUUCUUGGCUCAUUCCUGACGUUGAUGCACGAAAGCGUGGGUAGCAAAC
rnacentral:rRNA from 1 species